rnacentral:ncRNA from 1 species
GUUAUCACGAAAGGCAGAGGGAUUAGACCCAUUGAAGCCUUGGCAACCUCUCAUUUUUUGAGAAAGGUGCUACAUUCUACAAGUUUUUAACUUGACAGAUAAC